UUCAGAACCCGAGAGGUCUGUGAGGGCAUCUUGUGAUGCCUGAGGCCCCUGAGAGCGUUCACAACCGCCGCAGGAUGUUUGGAGUCUCUGGGCCAGUGUUCUGUCCGCAGACGGGGUCAGCUGCUUGGUGGCACGGGGAGAAAACAAGAAAAAGUUGUUUCCUGCAGGUCUCUGCUUGAAAAUGCUAUCGGAGAGUCACUCAGCACUUGGUAUCUCAGUAACGAAGAAGACACAUACAUGGCAGGCAUGGUACAGAGCGCUUCCUUGCACAGCCUUGCCCAUGAGCUCGUCCCUGGCCUGGAGGGACCCACUCUAG